CCUACGGGAGGCAGCAGUGGGGGAUAUUGCACAAUGGGGGGAACCCUGAUGCAGCGACGCCGCGUGGGUGAAGAAGCGCCUCGGCGCGUAAAGCCCUGUCAGCAGGGAAGAAAAUGACGGUCCCUGAAGAAGAAGCCCCGGCUAACUACGUGCCAGCAGCCGCGGUAAUACGUCGGGGGCAAGCGUUAUACGGAUUUCCUGGGUGUAAAGGGGGCGCAGACGGCGAUGCAAGCCAAGAGUGAACGCCCGGGGGCCAACCCCGGGACUGCUCUUGGAACUGCGUGGCUGGAGUGCAGGAGGGGCAGGCGGAAUUCCUGGUGUAGCGGUGAAAUGCGUAGAUAUCAGGAGGAACACCGGUGGCGAAGGCGGCCUGCUGGACUGCAACUGACGUUGAGGCCCGAAAGCGUGGGGAGCAAACAGGAGUAGAUACCCCGGUAGUC
rnacentral:rRNA from 1 species